AAGGAUAGAUUUCUUUCUCUUUUCCGUUUUUCCAGGAGGAAUCGUAGAUGGUGCAACCAGU
rnacentral:snRNA from 1 species